rnacentral:rRNA from 1 species
GGGGGCCUACNGGAGGCAGCAGUAGGGAAUCUUAGNCAAUGGNGGCAACCCUGAUCUAGCCAUGCCGCGUGUGUGAUGAAGGCCCUAGGGUCGUAAAGCACUUUCNCCAGAGAUGAUAAUGACAGUAUCUGNUAAAGAAACCCCGGCUAACUCCGUGCCAGCAGCCGCGGUAAUACGGAGGGGGUUAGCGUUGUUCGGAAUUACUGGGCGUAAAGCGCACGUAGGCGGAUUAGUAAGUUAGAGGUGAAAUCCCAGGGCUCAACCCUGGAACUGCCUUUAAUACUGCUAGUCUUGAGUUCGAGAGAGGUAAGUGGAAUUCCGAGUGUAGAGGUGAAAUUCGUAGAUAUUCGGAGGAACACCAGUGGCGAAGGCGGCUNACUGGCUCGAUACUGACGCUGAGGUGCGAAAGUGUGGGGAGCAAACANGAUUAGAUACCCUGGUAGUCCACACCGUAAACGAUGAAUGCCAGACGUCAGCAAGUAUACUUNUCGGUGUCNCACCUAACGGAUUAAGCAUCCGCCUGGA